CUGCCAAACAAUAAUUGUUUCUUUUUCUUUCACAGGUAGCGCGAAGUCAAUUACUAUUUUCAGUAAACGAUCAGACAAUCAAAUUCAGACAACAUCAUCUAUAAUUAUUCGCAGUUUGUUUUGUCUAGUAUGCACGUGCCAAGUGUUGUUUUUGAAAAGCGCGCACUGAAUCUAAUUUCAAAAUGUUAUUGUUGUUUUCCCCCUCUGCCUCACACAUUUGAAAAACUGGAGGCAGAGCAAGUCUAAUCACAAAUAGAAAACGACAAACAAAUUAAUUUUAUGUUCUUUCUCCUUGCUGCCAUUUACAGGUUCAGAUCAAAUUAUUUAAAGCGGCCGUUCCUUCAGAAAUGCUGUCAUCAGCCCUCAAACAGAUUUCGCGUGUUCUAAAUGGUCUAAGCCCGUACUUUUACAUUUUAGAACUACGUGCUCUGUCCAUUAGAAAUAUUAUUGCUCUACAGCAAAGAUCACUGCUAUUGGCUAAAACUAGCUAAUCAAAUUGCCCAGCAAGUUAUCAGGCACAAUUCAAGAUGUCGGGUCGAAAGCGAGGGAAGAUUUAUUGUAAACAACUGCAUUUUAAAACAAACUUGCAUUCGAAAAACUUUAAUUCAUCGAAAACAAUUACGCCAUCUGCUUCUGGAAGUGCGGUUCUACGGCCCACAGUAGGCGUCUUUGGGCGAGUAUGCAGACAUGACUUUCCUAAAGGAUUCCAUAACGUAAAGCAUGGUGAAAGAAUAUCAUACUCUGUUUGUGAGCUUAAGAGGCUUAGAAGUCUUUAUGAGAGCACCAGAAGCAGAGUAAUCAUCAUGUAUGACAUCGCUUGUUUAUUAGCACACCAUUUGAAGUGUUCAUCUCUGGAAAGCCUCUUGGAAGUGUUGAUGUUGUCAUACCCAUAUUCUAUUCUAUUUCUAUGGGCACAAGGCAUCAUGCCAGAUCCAGUACAGUCCAAGAAGGAUCAAGUGAACUGGAUUGACAGAUGAUGAAGGGGUGGAAAGGUUAUGGUACUUUCUGCAUAGGUUUUCCUCUGUCACCAAAGAAAUGAGUGCUCACAAAAGGACAGAUGUUUUGAAUGAUGGGCUUCUUUACUAUGCUCAACAUUUGUAUCACAAAUUUUGGUGUUACUCUAAAAGCAAAGUUUGCAAGGGCAGAACCUCUUCUACAGGAUGUCAGUGCAAAGCUUGAGGAACUCGCUGAAAAACUUCCAGGAUUAAUACUGCCGAGUGGGACGAAUCAUAUGUCAGCGUGCUCCUCAUGUCUAAAAAACCCAGAUGACGAGAAAUCAGACGAAUCGAUGAUGGAGGAAGUUGUGAACGAUGAGGCCUUUGUGUUGGAACUGUCAUCAGGCAGCGAAUUAUCUGAUAAUGAAUAAAACUCAUUUUUUUUAUCAGGCGCUUGCCAAACCAUACUGAAAGAGCCGCUGCUUUGUUUAUGUGCGCGCGCUAAUAGCGGGUAAACUUCUCGGAAAACCCAACAAAUAUCAAUGCAUUGUGUAGGAUUAUACUGACUGGCUAAUUAUCACAAUAUGUGUUAAUAAAUUCUCACCGUUCGCAAAUUUCA